GUAAGUGGCUCAUAUAGUAUUUGUCCUUUUGUGUCUGGCUUAUUUCACUCAACAUCAUCAAGGUUUCGCCAUGUUGUAGUGUGUGUCAGAAUUUCCUUCUUUUUUCUGUGCGAGCAAUAUUCCAUCGUGUGUUUACAACGCAUUUUUUUUUUAUCUGUUCAUCAGUCAACGGACAUGGGUUGUUUCCACCUCUGGGCUGUUGCAGAAAGUAUUGGUGCUGGGGGUGGGGCUUGGUUUUGUUUUACGUUCCAGUCCUCGUGUUUUCCUUUCUCUUCCUCAGCCACUAAAAUCCAAGAGUUCUUAUCUGUUUUAGGGGGUCACCAACCCAUUCAAGAAUGUCAAACAAUUUAGGUCCUCUCCCAUUGAAAAACUUAAGUAUGGCACGCCCACAAGCACUGCAUCCUUGCACCACAGGUUAAUCUCUGCUCUGGAUAAGCACUGUCUCCCCGGAAGCUGAAAAUCAGCGGUUUUCAAAUCAGAACCUGGUUGAAAUGCUGAGUAAAGCAAACCAUCGCUUCUGGCUUGACAGUUUUAGAAAGUGAGUGGCUGUGUCUGGAACUUCCCAACUGUGGGCGCAACAGCAGGAAGGGUACAGAGUGUCUCGGGGGCCCUGGGGAUCAGGGGCAGAGUGCGUGGUCGUGUCCCAGACGCAGAGAGGUCAGCGGCAGUGUGCAGAGGGAAGGGCGUUUGCAGGGGACGUGCGCCCAGGCAGGAGGCAGAAGCCCCUCCCUCGUUCUAGGCAGGAGUCUCCCCACGCUGGCCUCUUGCCUACAGACCUUGGCUGCAAGGCCCCACCCCGAAGCACCAACACUUUCCCGUGAUCCCAGGAAUCAGCUCUGGAGCUGGAGAUCCUCGUUUCCAAUCUCACUGCAUGUAAAGUUGUGUUCCCAGGAGAGGCUUUGGCCGGACAGGAUACGGUACUACCCGGCGGGGCUGCAGGAGCGCCGAGACCAGCCAGCAUCAGGAUCGUCUGCUGCGGCGGGGAGUGUUUCCUACAAAUUGGCCACGUCUGAGCAGCAGAUCUGAACAAGAUCCCACUGGGUUCCACGCAGAGCUGUGGCUGAGCUGACGCUGGACACCCAGGGGUGCUCGGGGACUCGUGCCCGAUGUCCAGGCAUAAAGAUGGGAGGAAAGAGCUUCUACUGCGUCCCUCUCCAAGGUGAUGGCCGUUUCGACCCGAUGGCCCACGGCUGCUCCAUUUUUCCAGUGGUUACUGCAGGACAGUGAUAACAAAUUUUCAUGUUCUGAGAUACAGAGAAAAGAGCACGCUGACCGGAAGUAAAAGUCCAUGUUAAAAAUACAGAUUAAAUGCCGCCCUUCCCGGGACGCCAGUGCUGGUCCUCCUUUGAUGAUGAGACUCCCUCCCCAGGUGCCGAGGCCACGCUCGCUCACCGUGUACGUGCUGGUCUGUUUUGUUUUUUGUUUUUUUGUUUUUUUUUUUUUUUGAGACCUUGAAGGAAUGUAUCCCUGACUUCAUAAUAAGUCUUUGUUCUGACAAAAUACAAAACUACGGGAAACCCUGCUUCUCCGGAGCAACGCUUCAGUCAUCUGAGAAGUGGGCUCCCAGGCCAGUCCUCAGUUUGGCUCAAAUAAAACUCCUUCCUCCUCUUAUUGAUUGA